CUUUACUGUAAUUUGCAAUUGAAUUUGAAUUUUAUUUGCGUAGAAUAUGUGGGAAACUAAGAUAUUAUUUUUCUGGAAAUAAAGGAGUUAACAAUGAAAUACCACACUAAUAAAAUUAAAAUUCUAAAUUUAAAUCAUUUAGAUGAUUAAAUAACAGUUUCAAAUAGACAGUUUGACUGGGGCGGUCGCCUCCUAAAAAGUAACGGAGGCGUACAAAGGUUUUUUCAAAUCGGUCAGAAAUCGAUUUUAGAGUGUAAAGAUACAAAAAAGCUUAACUGUAAGAAAAACAAUUCAAACAGAAACGAAAGUUGGUCUUAGUGACCUAACGAUACUGUAUGGAAAGGUCGUUAAUCAACGGAUAAAAGUUA
rnacentral:rRNA from 1 species